GACGUAGGGGGCCAGCGUUGCUCGGAAUUACUGGGCGUAAAGGGUUCGUAGGCGGUGCGGCAAGUCGGGAGUGAAAUCUCUGGGCUUAACUCAGGGGCUGCUUCCGAAACUGCCGUGCUUGAGUGCGGGAGAGGCGAGUGGAAUUGCAGGUGUAGCGGUGAAAUGCGUAGAUAUCGGAAGGAACACCUGUGGCGAAAGCGGCUCACUGGACCAUUACUGACGCUGAGGCACGAAAGCUAGGGGAGCAAACAGG
rnacentral:rRNA from 1 species